rnacentral:tRNA from 1 species
AUUAUAAUAGCUUAAAGUAAAGCGUAGCUCUGAAGAAGCUAUUAUGGAUAAAUUCCUUAUAAUA